AGUGAACGCUGGCGGUAGGCCUAACACAUGCAAGUCGAACGGCAGCACAGUAAGAGCUUGCUCUUACGGGUGGCGAGUGGCGGACGGGUGAGGAAUACAUCGGAAUCUACUUUUUCGUGGGGGAUAACGUAGGGAAACUUACGCUAAUACCGCAUACGACCUACGGGUGAAAGCAGGGGAUCUUCGGACCUUGCGCGAUUGAAUGAGCCGAUGUCGGAUUAGCUAGUUGGCGGGGUAAAGGCCCACCAAGGCGACGAUCCGUAGCUGGUCUGAGAGGAUGAUAAGACACACUGGGACGAAGACACGGCACAGACUCCUACGGGAGGCAGGAGGGGGGAAGAUGGGAAAAGGGGGGCAACACGGAUCAAGCCAUGCCGCGUGAGUGACGACGGCCUUAGGGUGGGAAAGCGCUGUUCGCCGGGACGAUAAUGACGGGACCGGAGGAAUAAGCACAGGCUAAAUUCGUG
rnacentral:rRNA from 1 species